rnacentral:rRNA from 1 species
UACGUAGGGGGCAAGCGUUGUCCGGAUUUAUUGGGCGUAAAGAGCGUGUAGGCGGCCAAACAGGUCAGCUGUGAAAACUCGAGGCUCAACCUCGAGACGUCGGUUGAAACCGUUUGGCUAGAGUCCGGAAGAGGAGAGUGGAAUUCCCGGUGUAGCGGUGAAAUGCGCAGAUAUCGGGAGGAACACCAGUGGCGAAGGCGAUCAUCUGGGAUUGUUCUGACGCUGAGGAGCGAAAGCUAGGGGAGCAAACGGG